UACGUAGGGGGCGAGCGUUGUCCGAAGUUACUGGGCGUAAAGAGCGCGUAGGCGGGUCUUUAAGUGAGAGGUGAAAGGUUCAGGGCUCAACCCGUACACUGCCUUUCAUACUGGAGACCUUGAGUGCGGGAGAGGCGAGUGGAAUGGUCGGUGUAGCGGUGAAAUGCGUAGAUAUCGAUCGGAACACCCAUGGCGAAGGCAGCUCGCUGGCUCGCAACUGACGCUGAGGCGCGAAAGCGUGGGGAGCAAACAGG
rnacentral:rRNA from 1 species